rnacentral:rRNA from 1 species
GGUCAUUACUGAGUUGUCGACAUGAGCUGUUGCUGGUCCUCAAAAGAAGGGGGGAGGUGCCCGCUCUGUUCACCCCUCCCCUCCCACCUGUGCCCCCCCGUAUUUCUAUGGCCUGGGGACUUGCAGUCUUCUUUCUGUAGUUCUGCUUCUUUACACAUACACCGUAGUGAAGUCUUAUGGAAUGCACACCGCGUUUAACGCAAUACAAUACAACUUUCAGCAACGGAUCUCUUGGCUCUCGCAUCGAUGAAGAACGCAACGAAAUGCGAUAAGUAAUGUGAAUUGCAGAAUUCAGUGAAUCAUCCAAUCUUUGAACGCACCUUGCGCCUCUUGGCUAUUCCGAGGGGCAUGCCUGUUUGAGUAUCAUGAACACCUCAACUCUAACGGUUCACCCGUGACGAGCUUGGACUUCUGGAGGUUUUGCUGGCCUGCGGCCGGCUCCUCUCAAAUGGAUCAGCUUACCAGUGUUUGGUGGCGCCAUGGAUGUGAUAACUAUCUACGCCUGCGGUCGUCUGCCAGGAGACCUUCAGUGAUGGGGGUUUGCUGGGGCUUACAAAUGUCUCUCCUCAGCGAAGACUGCUUUUUGAACGUUCGAUCUCAAAUCAGGUACGACUACCCGCUGAACUUAA